GCGCCAAUAGCUCAGUUGGGAGAGCGUCAGACUGAAGUUCUCGCUUCUUCAGUCCAUAAAAACUCGGGGUAAUCUGAAGGUCACCCGUUCAAUCCGGGUUUGGCGCA
rnacentral:tRNA from 1 species